rnacentral:rRNA from 2 species
GAGUAACACGUGGGAAACCUGCCCAGAAGCGGGGGAUAACACCUGGAAACAGAUGCUAAUACCGCAUAACAACUUGGACCGCAUGGUCCGAGUUUGAAAGAUGGCUUCGGCUAUCACUUUUGGAUGGUCCCGCGGCGUAUUAGCUAGAUGGUGGGGUAACGGCUCACCAUGGCAAUGAUACGUAGCCGACCUGAGAGGGUAAUCGGCCACAUUGGGACUGAGACACGGCCCAAACUCCUACGGGAGGCAGCAGUAGGGAAUCUUCCACAAUGGACGAAAGUCUGAUGGAGCAACGCCGCGUGAGUGAAGAAGGGUUUCGGCUCGUAAAACUCUGUUGUUAAAGAAGAACAUAUCUGAGAGUAACUGUUCAGGUAUUGACGGUAUUUAACCAGAAAGCCACGGCUAACUACGUGCCAGCAGCCGCGGUAAUACGUAGGUGGCAAGCGUUGUCCGGAUUUAUUGGGCGUAAAGCGAGCGCAGGCGGUUUUUUAAGUCUGAUGUGAAAGCCUUCGGCUCAACCGAAGAAGUGCAUCGGAAACUGGGAAACUUGAGUGCAGAAGAGGACAGUGGAACUCCAUGUGUAGCGGUGAAAUGCGUAGAUAUAUGGAAGAACACCAGUGGCGAAGGCGGCUGUCUGGUCUGUAACUGACGCUGAGGCUCGAAAGUAUGGGUAGCAAACAGGAUUAGAUACCCUGGUAGUCCAUACCGUAAACGAUGAAUGCUAAGUGUUGGAGGGUUUCCGCCCUUCAGUGCUGCAGCUAACGCAUUAAGCAUUCCGCCUGGGGAGUACGGCCGCAAGGCUGAAACUCAAAGGAAUUGACGGGGGCCCGCACAAGCGGUGGAGCAUGUGGUUUAAUUCGAAGCUACGCGAAGAACCUUACCAGGUCUUGACAUACUAUGCAAAUCUAAGAGAUUAGACGUUCCCUUCGGGGACAUGGAUACAGGUGGUGCAUGGUUGUCGUCAGCUCGUGUCGUGAGAUGUUGGGUUAAGUCCCGCAACGAGCGCAACCCUUAUUAUCAGUUGCCAGCAUUAAGUUGGGCACUCUGGUGAGACUGCCGGUGACAAACCGGAGGAAGGUGGGGAUGACGUCAAAUCAUCAUGCCCCUUAUGACCUGGGCUACACACGUGCUACAAUGGAUGGUACAACGAGUUGCGAACUCGCGAGAGUAAGCUAAUCUCUUAAAGCCAUUCUCAGUUCGGAUUGUAGGCUGCAACUCGCCUACAUGAAGUCGGAAUCGCUAGUAAUCGCGGAUCAGCAUGCCGCGGUGAAUACGUUCCCGGGCCUUGUACACACCGCCCGUCACACCAUGAGAGUUUGUAACACCCAAAGUCGG